AUCUUUUUAGUAUAAAUAAAUAUAUUUGACUUCCAAUCAAAAGAUCUUAAAUUAAGAAAAGAUA
rnacentral:tRNA from 1 species